ensembl:lncRNA
GAUGGUCUGGUAUAAUCAGUUCUUUAGUUCAUUAGCAUGUCUUUCAUAAUUUCUAUUAUUCUUUUCUGGUUAUCGAAUGGCAACCUCAAUGAAAAGACCAAAAAAAAGUUUAUCUACAAUAGUUCAAAAAUAAUAGCAACCUUACCUUUAUUGAAAGAGUGUUUGAAGGUCUUCCAGCCCAGCUCACUCCCGGGAGCAGUGCAGAUCCACAAAUCCUGGACUCCUCAGAACCAGAGUCAAGAGGAACCAGUUUCUCACCCUGUCUGGCCUAAGACUUGCCGGAAGCUGGCAAGCGAUAAUGUCUCCAAGACGUUUGCAAACUGGCCAUUCAGCCUUGAGAUUGGUGCAGGUGGACCUGCGAGAGCCCGCGCGCGCGCGCCCGGGCGCUAGCGCGCCUUUGCGCACUUUCACUUUCUCAAGCCCCUCAGAAACCCUUGAGGAUGAAACCCUGGGGACUUGCCAAAACCUUUCUCGGACCCAGGGGCCUACCCCAGUGCCUAGGGGUGAGAAGGAAUGGCAUUCAAUAAUGAUAACAUUUGGACCCCUAAGUUUGUUAACUCAUCCUCCAACCUCGGGUGUUUAGUCUCUUAGGCAAAGUCAACUUGCUUCUGCCUGGCUUCUAGUCUAAAAAAGCCCUUGAACAUGAACCGGAAAGAGGAAAUGGGGGCUUUGUAUUUCCUGUGGGAAGGUGAGCUCUGCCCUCAUUUCUGCAUAGGGCUCUUUAGGGGCACCCUAAAGGCA